GGAGAGAUGGCCGAGUGGUUUAUGGCGCUGGUCUUGAAAACCAGUGAUCCCGCAAGGGACCGGGGGUUCGAAUCCCUCUCUCUCCGCCA
rnacentral:tRNA from 1 species